rnacentral:lncRNA from 1 species
UUAUCAAUAUGAAAAUAAUUCCAUUUCAUAAAUCUUUUUUAAUAUUUAAAAAUUACCUAAUAGGGUUAUAUGGAAAAAUGUUACAUUUUAAUUAAGAAUGCCUUUUUCAGGGCUGCGGAUUUAGCUCAGUGGUUCCACCACCUGCCUCACAAGCUCAAGGUCCUGAGUUCGAUCCCCGGUACAAAAGAAAAAGAAAAAAAGAAGCCUUUUUCAUAAACUUUCAAAGUUAUUUUUAUUUGAGAAUCCUAGGCACCUAAGUGACAGCUGGAGAAAUGAGAGCUUCAAAACAGAAAAGUAUGUCAAAGAUAAAUCCUUAGAAGAAUGGCCUGUACAUGGGGAUGACGUGAAAGAAAACUGGAGAAGACAGUGUCACACCCAGAGAGUAAGGCAACCUUGCAGGCUGGAGUGUGUGGCCUGGGCACCAACAAGCCUUGGAGGCAGAUGUGCAGGAAGCCUUAAAGAACAAAGACAAGACAAUGGUCAUCUGGAGAAGAGUGCCUCGCUGCCUCACUCUAUCCGUCCCCCAAAUUCCUCAAGGCAAUACUACCCUCCUCCGCUUCCCUUUAAAUUCUUUAUUCUCUGCCUGCUCUGCACUGACUCCCCUUUGGACUCAGCCUGCUCAUAAGUACACCAGCAUUACAUAAACAAGCCUUGAUUCUCAUACAAUGCCUGCCCCAGGUGCUCUUUCUUUAAUAUAGACAGAAUAUACUGUUAAGAAGAAAAUGGAAGAGGAUAUGACAAGGCCAGUGAAAAGAAGGAUGGUUCAGUGUAAAAGAUCAAAGAGGACAAGAAACAAGAAAAUAAGAAAUGACUUUUGGUGGUUUUUCAGAAGAGUUACAUCAACAGGAAGGUGACUCAAACUGCAAAGUGUUUAGAAUGAGUGAAUGAUCAAAAGCUACCAUAGCCCGGGGGGGGGGGGGGGGAGAAAAGAGGGGGGGGGGGGGGGGAGGGUAGGGGAGGGGAGAGCAGAGGAGAGGAGAGGAGAGAAGAGGGAAAGGAAGGCUGGCUAACAGUUUUAAGGGAACCAGGUAUCAAGUAACUGCAUUAAACAAUACCAACAACAAAUGUAUGUGCAGCCUAAGAGAAGGUCCAGGGAGAAGCUGAUGAUCAUUUCUCAUUUAAGUAAAGAACUUUCUCUCAGAACAGCAACCUCUGAGAGAUCCAUGUGUAUCUUAAGUCAUCCUAGUAUCUGAAACAUCUAA